ensembl:lncRNA
UUUUUUUUUUUUUUUUUUUUCUUUUUUUCCCAGUUUGUUUGGUUUUGUUUUUGUUUUUUUUAACAUAUAAAAUACUCACUCAUGUAUUUACCGCUAAUAAAUGCAAGUUAGUCCCAUCAAACAUGCUUUGCUUCGAUAUCAAGAAUUGGUGCUGAACAAAUCUUGGCUGGAUAUUAGAAACAUCCCCCACCCCAGCCCCCCCGACCCGACGAAGAAGAGAGAGAAAUAUCAUGGAAAAUACAGGUGACACCUACAGAGGACACGGGGCACAUUUGUGCCUCAGCCAUGGGGACACGGCAUGACCACGCUGAGGGACCUCUGCCUGCCUCUGGAGGGGUGCAAGCACUCCAGGGCUAUGCCACCAUCCCCUUGGGGACAUCUGAGCCCAAACAGCAGCACCUGGACCCUCCCAGAGCCCAGGAUGCGGGACACAAACCAAGGGGAGUGAAGCCUCGGUCGCCACUGCCCAAAGACAAUCCCCAAAUCGUGCCCCAGAGAAGGCAGAGGGGUGGAUUGCAGCUCCCUGGCAUUGCUCAGUCCCAAACUGGCUCCUUGUCCCCCCAGAGUCCAGGGGGAAGGGGGCAGUGAUCCGGCAGCUCCCUACUGCCCUGCAGAAAAACCCAAAUAUCCACAGCACAUCCCCCACUGCGCCAGGGCUCCAUGCCACCUCACCCACCAGGACAGAGAGAGCCCCACAUCCCAUCCAUGGGGACAGGGAGAGCCCCACAUCCCAUCCACAGAGACAGGAGAGAGCCCCACAUCCCAUCCAUGGGGACAGGGAGAGCCCCACAUUCCAUCCACAGGGACAGGGAGAGCCCCAUGUCCCAUCCAUGGGGACAGGGAGAGCCCCAUGUCCCAUCCACGGGGACAGGGAGAGCCUCAGAUCCCAUCCAUGGGAACAGGGAGAGCCCCAGAUCCCAUCCAUGGGGACAGGGAGAGCCCCACAUCCCAUCCAUGGGGACAGGGAGAGCCCCACAUCCCAUCCAUGGGGACAGGGAGAGCCCCACAUCCCAUCCAUGGGGACAGGGAGAGCCCCACAUCCCAUCCAUGGGGACAGGGAGAGCCCCACAUCCCAUCCACAGGGACAGGGAGAGCCCCAGAUCCCAUCCAUGGGGACAGGGAGAGCCCCACAUCCCAUCCAUGGGGACAGGGAGAGCCCCAUAUCCCAUCCAUGGGGACAGGGAGAGCCCCACGUCCCAUCCAUGGGGACAGGGAGAGCCCCACAUCCCAUCCAUAGGGACAGGGAGAGCCCCACAUCCCAUCCAUGGGGACAGGGAGAGCUCCUCACCCUAUCCAGGCAGGGAGAGCUUCAAAUCCCACCCAUCCGGGCAGGGAGAGCCCCAGAUCCUGCCCCAGUGGACACCAGCACCCCCACAGCAGCAGUAAGCCCUGGGACUCUCCUGGAGGGGUACUGACAUUCCCUACGGAGAAGGGUCCCCGCUCCAGCUGGGUGCAGGGACCUGGAGGAUCCACUGUGGCCACCUGGGUGGCUCCGAGGGGCUCCACCACUGCAGGAGGGUCCCAGAAACCCUCGAGGUUUCUGAGGGCAGCCAGGACAGGUGACCAGGGAGGCAGCAGCGUGGGGACCCUGUCCCCACGGCGUGUCCCCAUCCUGUGCCACCCCCAGGCUGCAGCUGCCUAGUGCUCCCCGAGCGCCCUCAGAGCUGAAAUUCAUCUUUUUUCUCUGAGAAAAAAAAGCCCAAGACAGCCCUCAGUGAAAACACCACCUCGCCACGGCCCUGGGCAAGCUGGCAGCGAGCCCAGGCUUCCCCAUCCCAGGAUUUUUUCCCUUUUGAGUGUUUUUCCCUAUGGAAACAGCAAACAGUGGUGAUGCUGGGCCCGGAGCGGGCGGAUCCCCUGGAGCACUGCGAGCCCCCCAGCCUGGCCCAGCCCUCCUCUCCCUCGCCACCAUAUUGCUCAAACAGCACUAGGCAUGGAUACAAAAAUAAAACAGCUAUGUGACUUAGAUAUAUAUAAUUUGUAUAUAUAUAUAUAUAUAUUUGUAUAUAUAUUUUUGUCUAUUUAUAGGUGGAUGGAGAAGCAGAGAAGCUGAAGCGCAAUAUAAUGUAAAAAUACUCGCUCUGCUCCUGCUGUUGAGACUCUCCCCACCUCUGACAGCCUCUCUCAUGCUGCACAGAAGUUUCUGACACCUAUUACUAACGAAUUAUUUUAAAUAUUUAUUCUCCCCCCCUUCUAAAAUAGAGAGUAAAUAUAUAUUUGUUUAAUUUUAUAUACAAUGUGGUUUCGAUACACCAAUAUCAUUUCUUUAGAUAGAGAUACUGGGGCUCAUUGCUCAAGUCUCUUUUUUUUUUUGUGUUUUAUUUUAAUCUAAGUGCUAGGGGGGGGAGUGGGUGGAAAUCUGAGGAGCUUUCAGACCCGGGAAGAUGGGCACCCUCUUUUGCAGCCCUGCAACCUCAGGAGAACAGGAAUAAAAGCCCUCCUGGGAGAGAAAGUGUCAUUUUGAUGGCAAAUAUAAAAUCUGGGCAAACUGUCCUCCAUGGGGGAUGCCAGCCCCUCCAUCCUGCAUUUCCCACCCCACUGCAACCAGUACAAAAAAUCCUUAGCUACCUCUACAGAGCAUGCUUGCCUCAUCCAACACCCCGAGCCUGGACCAGCCCCUCUGCCCACCCCCUCCCCAGGUCCUUCCUCCAUCCAUGCACGUAUCAAAAGUCAGCCAGAGCCCCAGGACGGGGGAUGCUCGUCCUGCUGCCACAGAAUGCCGAGGAAAAGAGCUCAGCCAGCUGUGCCAAAACACCUAAACCUGGGGAAAAACGGGCAAACACGGCUCCCCCUCAGCCCAGCCACCCAGGCAGGGGAACAGGCUCCCAUCUCCAUCCCCUCCCACAGCCAGGCUGGUCCUCCCUGCCUGGGGAUGUGCCAACUGAUGACAAUUAAGUGCAAUGUUCAGUUUCUGGUCGCUGCUGCCCAGCCCUCGGUUCCUGGAUCAAGAAUUCCCUGACGGAUCUCUGAUAGGAACAACUGCACUUCCCACCUCCCCCUCCCACACACGCGGGCAGAGAGGAGUCAAGAGACUCAGAAACAGAAAAAAACCCAACAGAAUUAAGCUGAAGGGGUGAAAUGGGAGCAAAUGUCCUGCUUUCUGUAAAGACUACCCCAUGUCCAGACAGCACAGGGGCGGCUCUGGGAGAGGAGUGGGAAUCCAGCCUGAAUCCAGCUGCCCCCGUGCCCGGGGUCAGCAGCAGCUUUGGCAUCACUGGUGACUAAAUCCCUCUCUGCCUCAGAUCCUCAAAGUCCUGCUAAUGGGGUUUAAAAUAAAAAGACACUGUCAAGAACAUCUUGUCCCUCCGAGGAGGCACUGCUGGGGCUGGCUGGCACAGCCAGUGCUGCAUUCCUCAGCUCAGGGGACAAAUUUAGCUGUAUCCCUCUCUCAUCCCUUCUGACUCACGCUUCUCUGGGAAGAACAGACGCAAAGCAAAAUGCUUUCACACAAGUAACCAGAGAGCAGCAUCUAGAGGGACUUGAGGGAAGGGUUUUUGCGUGGUGCAGCUUUUUCUUUAAGUGGUGGCACCAGACAAGAGGCAACGUGACAUCCCCCUGCCAUGCCGUGUCCCCACGUGCCUCGGACACGCAGAGCACAGGACCUGUCCCUCUGCUCCUCCAUGUCACGGCCCAGGGGAGAGUCACAGACAGUGAACAAAGCUAAAACUGCGGAUGAAAUAAUGAAACAGAGCGCUCUGUCGUGUGCAGCAGGGCCACAGCGCAGCUCACGCCAUCCCCACAUAAAUUCCCCAAAUUCAGGCUGCAGCUGCUCCCAGCCCCUUCCCCGCUUUGCCCAUCCUGAUCCCCCGCUCCAGCACGGCUCUAACCUCUCCCCAUGACACACACAUACCCCAACAUGCAAAUCUACUGAAUUCUGCAAACCUAGCUACCUUUGUCCUACGCUUCUCUAGCUAUUUAUAUCUCAUAUGUACAGUGGGUUUUACUCCGGUUCCUUGAGGAUUUCCUUCUGAAAAAGCCCUGACUUCAGUCUGGGGCUGCAGCGAGCCCAUGUGGGACGUGUGGAAAUCCCUGAAGGUCCAGCCUCCUGGAAAAAUACCUCCAGAUGAGAGCUACAGCUGAAACCAACCCAAAACUCUGAGAACUCCCAAAUCUACGUCACUGCCUGAAGCAGGAAGAGAAACCAAAAUGCCAGGUGGAUUUUGUCCUAAUGCAGAAGGCAAGGUGGGAGCAGCAAUGAGUCUGGAAUGUGUGUCACGUCUGGAUGCCACCAGACGUGACUAAGCUCUGCCAGGACCGUGCCUGAGCUGCUGAGCCCAAAUCCAGUGUCCUCAACACUCCAGAGGCAGGUUCAGCAAGCUGUUAUUCCCUUUAUAUUCCCUUUACAUUUAUAUAUCCAAACAGCAUCACCUCCAGCCUUCCUCCAAAGCGGGUGGCACUGAGCCAGCUGACAAGGUGACAAACACCAGAUGAACAGCCUGGAGUCCCCCAGUGGCCCACAGCAGCCUCCAAGUCACAGUGACCAGCACAGGGCAGCAGGAAUGAGAAUCCUCCCAGGAAAAGCAUCCUCUGCUCCCACAGACACCCUGGGGGCUCACAGAGACCAGCUCAGGGCCAGGCUGCAAACCGCACUGAGGUUCAGACUGGGAAGGGACCCUGGGACCUUGCAGCUCCCCCAUCCCACACACUCAUCACUCCCUGUGCCUGUGGGUGCCAUCAGUGGCAGGCACGGAAAUGGGGCCCCACAAACGAGCCCUGAACGCUCCCUCUCCCCCUCUUUACGCUAACUUGCACUUUCCUUCACAUCAACACCGCAGAACCAAAGCGCUGCUGGGGCUGCACGGCAAAGCCACCUUAGAAACACGUGGAUGAGAGCUCAGCAAGUCCUGCUGGACAAGCAGGCAAAGCACUUUCCUGCCCUUUUCCCCUGCCUGCUCCAGGACUCAUGGUCAGACUGCAAGGGACAGCACCCCAGAGCACCCCUUUUCCACAGGGUCUCCGUGGCAUCCUGUACCCACCUCUCCAUGUCACCUCCCCCAGCUCGGGGUGCCCCAAUCCUGCAACCCCCAAGGCGGCAUGGAACCGGUGCUGGAGCAUCCCCACCAUGGCCACCUUGCAGGGAGAAGCAUCAGCAAGGACCCCCAAAACUGGGCUGGCACCCCUGCAUUGACUCCUCAGCAGAGCCCAGGGACAAAUAACCUUUUGAUUCAGACAUUUUUUCACCG